UGCUGCUUCUGCAGAGAAUGCAGCUCAAAGUUAAAAACAGGGAAAUAACGAGAAGGAUGAGGAAUACAGGACAUGCCAAGGCCCAGCAACUCACUAUUUCCAACAGCAGCAGUAGCAGCUGCUGCUGAAGAAAAACUAGCCUGAGCAGGAGGGGGAGAGAUUUAAGUUUUUCGGAAAGUCUAAGAUUUAAAGCAGUACAGGUUGCACUGGGAUAUUUUACUUGAGGAGAUCGAAUAGAUUCCCCUUUCUCCUCCCUCAGUACCUAAGCAAGGAAGUUAUGACAGCAAGUUUAUUAUCAGUUACUCAAAAAAUUAAAAUUUUUCUAUGUUUUGUGAACAUGUUUUGUGAACUUGAAACCUUUAGUCACUCCCACAACAAAAGAAAGAAAGGUUAGGUAACAGAUUAGGGAGAUAACAAAGGGAGAGAAAUAGGAAAGAAACAACAAUUCAUAGAAAGUUCAAGGCUUUUCUUUGUCUUGGAUCAUUCUCUUUUCUCCAGCCUGCCAGAGUCCCCUUCAGCUCUGUUCAGCCAGCCUCCAGUCCAGGGUGCCCGCUCUGCUGCCUUUUGUCUCCUAUAACCAUAGGAACUUGUAUUUUGCGCCAGGCCUAGCACUUCAUUCCAAGCAACUGUGCUGAGGACCAAAGGAUUAGCAAGUCUGCUUAGGCUGCCAUCAAAUCUGUGCCUGAGUGCAAUUUCACACAGUCCAUCAAGACCUGCAGGAUCUGAUGCAGCCUUUGUCUCCAGGCUUGUCUGUCAUUUCUUCUACCCCAGAGUCAGCAAAGAACAUGGUGUAUAACUACCUGCACUCAUAUCCAGAAGCUCACAGAAUAUUAGAGAUGGAAGACACUCCAGAGUCAUCGCAUCCAAAUCUUCAUUUGAGAGAUAAGGAAACCAAAAGCUGUCAUUGCACCAAGAGUCACUGAGUUCUCCAAAACACGUCCCACAG